GAGUUUGAUCGUGGCUCAGAUUGAACGCUGGCGGCAGGCCUAACACAUGCAAGUCGGGCGGUAGAGAGAAGCUUGCUUCUCUUGAGAGCGGCGGACGGGUGAGUAAUGCCUAGGAAUCUGCCUGGUAGUGGGGGAUAACGCUCGGAAACGGACGCUAAUACCGCAUACGUCCUACGGGAGAAAGCAGGGGACCUUCGGGCCUUGCGCUAUCAGAUGAGCCUAGGUCGGAUUAGCUAGUUGGUGAGGUAAUGGCUCACCAAGGCGACGAUCCGUAAAUGGUCUGAGAGGAUGAUCAGUCACACUGGAACUGAGACACGGUCCAGACUCCUACGGGAGGCAGCAGUGGGGAAUAUUGGACAAUGGGCGAAAGCCUGAUCCAGCCAUGCCGCGUGUGUGAAGAAGGUCUUCGGAUUGUAAAGCACUUUAAGUUGGGAGGAAGGGCAGUAAAUUAAUACUUUGCUGUUUUGACGUUACCGACAGAAUAAGCACCGGCUAACUCUGUGCCAGCCGCCG
rnacentral:rRNA from 1 species